rnacentral:rRNA from 1 species
GAUGAACGCUGGCGGCGUGCCUAAUACAUGCAAGUCGAGCGAACAGAUGAGGAGCUUGCUCCUCUGACGUUAGCGGCGGACGGGUGAGUAACACGUGGAUAACCUACCUAUAAGACUGGGAUAACUUCGGGAAACCGGAGCUAAUACCGGAUAAUAUAUUGAACCGCAUGGUUCAAUAGUGAAAGACGGUUUUGCUGUCACUUAUAGAUGGAUCCGCGCCGCAUUAGCUAGUUGGUAAGGUAACGGCUUACCAAGGCAACGAUGCGUAGCCGACCUGAGAGGGUGAUCGGCCACACUGGAACUGAGACACGGUCCAGACUCCUACGGGAGGCAGCAGUAGGGAAUCUUCCGCAAUGGGCGAAAGCCUGACGGAGCAACGCCGCGUGAGUGAUGAAGGUCUUCGGAUCGUAAAACUCUGUUAUUAGGGAAGAACAAAUGUAUAAGUAACUAUGCACGUCUUGACGGUACCUAAUCAGAAAGCCACGGCUAACUACGU